rnacentral:rRNA from 1 species
GUGGGGAAUCUUAGACAAUGGGCGCAAGCCUGAUCUAGCCAUGCCGCGUGAGCGAUGAAGGCCUUAGGGUUGUAAAGCUCUUUCAGGGGGGAAGAUAAUGACUGUACCCCCAGAAGAAGCCCCGGCUAACUCCGUGCCAGCAGCCGCGGUAAUACGGAGGGGGCUAGCGUUGUUCGGAAUUACUGGGCGUAAAGCGCACGUAGGCGGACUGGAAAGUCAGAGGUGAAAUCCCAGGGCUCAACCUUGGAACUGCCUUUGAAACUCCCAGUCUUGAGGUCGAGAGAGGUGAGUGGAAUUCCGAGUGUAGAGGUGAAAUUCGUAGAUAUUCGGAGGAACACCAGUGGCGAAGGCGGCUCACUGGCUCGAUACUGACGCUGAGGUGCGAAAGCGUGGGGAGCAAACAGGAUUAGAUACCCUAGUAGUCC